ensembl:lncRNA
UGUAGCUCACCAGGCCCACGUCUCCUGCACUGCAGGCCGAUUCUUUGCUAUCUGAGCCACCAGGGAAGCCCCCAAUAUAGGAAAAAGUUAAAAAAAAAAAAAAAGUGGAAGUCAACCAGAAGAUUAAUAUACUGCAUCCGGAUACAAUGUUCUCUGUCCUACCUCAGAGAGGGUGCAGCCUGGAAGGGUCUCAGUUCUCAGAAACAGAUCCAACUGGACCAAUUCGCCUCACAUGGUCACCCCAGCCAAUCAACUCUUGCUGAGAGUCUGGAUCCCAUGGGAUAAACGUGGCUGCUUUGAGCAACUACCAAAAACGAAGGCCAGUACAAGCUGGACUACACUAAUUCCACACUUCUUUCAUAUGCUUGAGGUUCCAGCUGUCCUGGAGUUAAAGAUUCAGCUGAAAUCUGUGACCAAGUAGAAAUCUUAAUUCAAUGUGGAAAAUAUGGCUGCCAGACUUAGCAAAUAAAAGUACAAGAUGCCCAAUCAAAUUUGAAUACUUAACAAAAAAAAUUCGUCGCAUGUGAUAUUUGGGACCUACUUAUACUAAAAAAAAAAAAAAGCUUCAUUGUUUGAAGUUCAGGUGUAACUGAGCAUCCUAUAUUUAACUGCCAAAUGGAGUGGAAAGCUGGCCCUUUUGUGGGACUCUGAAUUCUUGACAUUUCCAAAAUAAUAAUCACAUCUCUGGGAAUUUAAGCACCCAGGACAGAUGUAAGGGUUUUGAAUAUGCCACAUCGAGGACACUGAGAGUGAAGCCAGCAUCCUGAGAGCAAGAGGUGGGCCUGCAUAAUUAUCAGUGAGUUAAAUUGCUUUGUUGCAGAGAGCUAGCUUAUUAAACAUGC